rnacentral:rRNA from 1 species
GAGGAUAACCCCGGGAAACCGGGGCUAAUACCGGAUAAUACUUUCUUUUGCAUAAAGGAAAGUUGAAAGGCGGCUUCGGCUGUCACUUACAGAUGGGCCCGCGGCGCAUUAGCUAGUUGGUGAGGUAACGGCUCACCAAGGCGACGAUGCGUAGCCGACCUGAGAGGGUGAUCGGCCACACUGGGACUGAGACACGGCCCAGACUCCUACGGGAGGCAGCAGUAGGGAAUCUUCCGCAAUGGACGAAAGUCUGACGGAGCAACGCCGCGUGAGUGAUGAAGGUUUUCGGAUCGUAAAACUCUGUUGUUAGGGAAGAACAAGUUGGGUAGUAACUGACCCAACCUUGACGGUACCUAACCAGAAAGCCACGGCUAACUACGUGCCAGCAGCCGCGGUAAUACGUAGGUGGCAAGCGUUGUCCGGAAUUAUUGGGCGUAAAGCGCUCGCAGGCGGUCCUUUAAGUCUGAUGUGAAAUCUCGCGGCUCAACCGCGAACGGUCAUUGGAAACUGGAGGACUUGAGUACAGAAGAGGAGAGUGGAAUUCCACGUGUAGCGGUGAAAUGCGUAGAGAUGUGGAGGAACACCAGUGGCGAAGGCGACUCUCUGGUCUGUAACUGACGCUGAGGAGCGAAAGCGUGGGGAGCGAACAGGAUUAGAUACCCUGGUAGUCCACGCCGUAAACGAUGAGUGCUAGGUGUUAGGGGGUUUCCGCCCCUUAGUGCUGAAGUAACGCAUUAAGCACUCCGCCUGGGGAGUACGGCCGCAAGGCUGAAACUCAAAAGAAUUGACGGGGGCCGCACAAGCGGUGGAGCAUGUGGUUAAUUCGAAGCACGCGAAGACCUUACAGGUCUUGACAUCCUCUGCAUUCUAGAGAUAGGAGUUCCUUCGGGACAGAGUGACAGGUGGUGCAUGGUGUCGUCAGCUCGUGUCGUGARAUGUUGGGUAAGUCCGCACGAGCGCAACCUUGAUCUUAGUGCCAGCAUUAUUGGGCU